GUCCAACGUGUUUUUUUCUCCAGUAUGGGCCAGGUGUUCAACGUGUUUUUUUCUCCAGUAUGGGCCAGGUGUUCAACGUGUUUUUUUCUCCAGUAUGGGCCAGGUGUUCAACGUGUUUUUUUCUCCAGUAUGGGCCAGGUGUUCAACGUGUUUUUUUCUCCAGUAUGGGCCAGGUGUUCAACGUGUUUUUUUCUCCAGUAUGGGCCAGGUGUUCAACGUGUUUUUUUCUCCAGUAUGGGCCAGGUGUUCAACGUGUUUUUUUCUCCAGUAGGGGCCAGGUGUUCAACGUGUUUUUUUCUCCAGUAGGGGCCAGGUGUUCAACGUGUUUUUUCCUCCAGUAGGGGCCAGGUGUUCAACGUGUUUUUUUCUCCAGUAGGGGCCAGGUGUUCAACGUGUUUUUUUCUCCAGUAGGGGCCAGGUGUUCAACGUGUUUUUUUCUCCAGUAUGGGCCAGGUGUUCAACGUGUUUUUUUUCUCCAGUAGGGGCCAGGUGUUCAACGUG